rnacentral:sRNA from 1 species
GGGAGAUUACGCCCUCUAGGAUCAACCAUAUCAGCACACCCAGUCAAGAGAAUCACUAAACCUAGCCACCACCCAGACCAGGCCUAGUUUCCCUUUUGCCCCUCUUGUAUUCCUUCCCGCUCCUCCCUCGACUACCCGACCUGCGAUCCCUAGACGUGGGUUGGUCCGUUGACAGGAAUGUCAUUGGGGGAGGCCAGUUUCUAGAAAACGUAGGAAGAAGGUCGCUUGACAGAAGAUUGACCACCCAGGUGUCGACUAUGUGCAAUCAUGUAGGAAUACUCGGAACAUGGUUCAAGAGAGAGGUUCCCAAAGUUUCCAUGGCAUUUUAUCGUCUAGGAUGAAGUUGAAGAAAACAAUUGUUUUUUUUUCAAUUCAUUUGUGGCGAUGCAUAGGUUGAGUUCAGCCUCUAUGAUUUCGGUGGCAGAAUGAUCUCAGCCGUCGGACGACUUCCUCCAUUACGUUGGCAGGAGAGGCUAGCACUAUCCGCAAAUAUCCGGGGGAAUCAAAGCACACUCCUGGCAAGACAAAGACAGCUUCUUCACAAUAGAGAGCAGUAGCAAAAGCAACGUCGUCUUGCAGGUGGGGGAAUUUGGAACGACUAAUGCGCACCAACACAUAUAGAGCACCGGUAGGAAACGAGCAUGACAGCCCAGGGAUAUCGUUAACAGCUUUGAAAAUAAUAUGGGCAUUACACUUAUUAAAAGGACGUUAGUCACGUGAAGAGUAGGUAGGACUGAUGCUCGCAUUCACCUUG